rnacentral:rRNA from 1 species
CUAUCCUGAACAAGCCCGAUCCCAUCUGAUCUCGGACGAUCCCGUCUGAUCUCGGAAGCUUAGCAGGGUUAGGCUUGGUUAGUACUUGGAUGGGAGACUACCUAGGAAGACUAGGU